rnacentral:tRNA from 1 species
GGUGCUCUGCCCGAGUGGUUAAGGGGUUAGUCUUGAAUUUGACAUUCAAUGGUCGUGUUCUACGCUGAUUAACUAAUGGUCUCUGGCCUCACAGGUUCGAAUCCUGUGGGCACCG